CCUUCAGCUGCGACUCGCGCAGACGCACCAGCUCCUCCAGGUAGCCCUGCGGGGCGCCGGCUCAGCCCGGGCGGCUGGGAGGACGUCCCGGCCGCGGCCCCCAUCCCCGCCCCGCCCCGGGAUGCCCGGAUCCCCCGCCCGGCCCGCCCGCCCCCCGGGCCCGCCGGCGUCGCGCACCUUCUGCGCGUAGACGAUGCGGAACUUCUGCUCCAUCUUGUGCCACUUGCUGUACCAGCUGUCCUCAUCGGUGACGAGCGGGAGGUACGGGUGCUCGGGCGAGUUGUCCUCGCUCGUGCUGCUCUCGGCGCUGUGCCGCUCCUCCUCGUCCGUCAGGUAGUCGUAGCUUGGGAGAGGGAGCAGUGGGCACGGCCGGUCCCGCCCCUCCCCCCGCGCGUCUGCGCUGGCCGCUGAGGGCGGUGGGACCAGGACGUCCCCAGGAUGUCCCGAGGCCCCGUCCCCCGCCCCGCCGCAGUCAUGGAGCCGCUCACCUCUGCGUGAACUUUAGGUAGGGCGUGUAAUCGAUGACCACGGGGGUCUUCCCGUCCAGGACUUCCCCCUUUAGACAGAAGCUGAGGCAGAGGAGCCACAGGGUUGGAGGUGGGUGUGAGGGGUUGGGGUAGGACAUUUAUGGGGGAAACAGCCCCCUCCACCACUGCCGUCAGGCAGACCCCACCUGAAGUCGAUGGCGCUCAGUCCGAUCAGCAUUCCGGUGAGGAUGGUGGCUUCAUCCCGCAGCAUGAUGGCUCCAGAGUCAUAGAACCGUCUGUGGGGAGGCAGAGGGCCAGAGGAUGCAGCAGGCCCCUGGAGCGCCCCCCCCCCCCCCAGAGCUGCUAUUGUUGGCUUACUGCCACCCCAUCCUGAAGGAAGGCCAAUUCUCCUUCCUGAUCUGCACGCAGGCCUGGAGCCUCUCUCCCCCUUCAGCCUGGGGCUCGCACCUGUGGCCCCAUCACCUAGAAUGGGUGUUCCCUGAGCCGACUCCUCCCUCUGAGCUACCCCUUCCUCAUCAAGUACUGGGUUACCCAGAUCCUUCAUAUCAGGAAGCAAGUCUUAAUCAUUAGUGCUUGGUAUACAGUAGGUGCGCAAAAAACGUGUUAACUUGAAACGUGUAGACUGAGGAAUGGAAUUCAGUAAAAACAUCAGGCUGGGUAUGGCCAAUUGGGAUGGGGAGGUAUAUGCCCCCCGCCACACCCAGACAGCUUCAGAUGCACCUGCCCACACAGGCACACUCCUCCUUGUAACCCCUUGCCUCAGGCACCCAACCUCCCUGUGAACCCACAGUGCAGGGAUUGAACUCCCCAUAUAAGGACUCUGUGUCCGUGAAUAGCAAGUACAGAACUGCUUUCGUUGUUUGGAGAGACAGAAGGGCUGUGUUGUAGAUCAUGGAGCAAGCCAACACUUGAGAUGGUGCAUGGCUGAGGCUCAUCCAGAGGUGUGCAAGGGUGGAGCGUGCUGGGCAUUGAUGGCAAAUAAUGGGCAUUAGAUUUGACUUGCAAGUGGUGGUGGUGGUGGUGGUAAAAGUUUGUCCUGGGGCCAGGAGCGGUGGCUCAUGCCUGUAAUCCCAGCACUUUGGGAGGCCAAGGCGGGAGGAUCACCUGAGGUUGGGAGUUUGAGACCAGCCUGACCAACAUGGAGAAACUAAAAAUACAAAAUUAGCUGGGCAUGGUGGCGUAUGCCUGUAAUCCCAGCUACUCAGGAGGCUGAGGCAGGAGAAUCGCUUGAACCCAGGAGGCGGAGGUUGCAGUGAGCCGAGAUCGCGCCAUCGCACUCCAGCCUGGGCAACAAGAGCGAAACUCCUUCUCAAAAAAAAAAAAAAAAAAAAGAGUUCGUCCUGGGACUGCAGGCCAGGCUGGAAGAGGGAAAUCAGCCAUGUGUGCUGGUGCUGGGACUUGUAGUCCAGGAACUGAAGGAUGCUGCAGGAACUUAAGGAUCAGCUGUGUUUGGGCAAUGCAGGUGCACUCUGAGACCUGUGGUCUGAGUUGCCUGGGAAGUCUGACCUGGUGGUCCGGGUGUCACGCAGAGCCGUGGUGAUGUAUUCUGACAUGCGCUUCUCCAUCAGUGCCACCCGGAUCCAUGCCCGGCC
rnacentral:lncRNA from 1 species